ensembl:lncRNA
AGACUGAGGCCCGGGCUGGGUGGGGUUGCCGGAGAGGGGCCACCCAGCGCCCCAUGAAUUCGUGAUGCACCCGCUUCAAACUCUACUGCCCACCGUCCCCCCCUUGCAGAUAGAUGCCUUGGGGUGGCAGUUUGGUAGGAAGCGGCCUGCCGUUCCCUCUGGGCUGGUACUCAGAUUGCGUGUGUCUGGGGAAGGAGGGUGAUGGUGAAUAUCUGUACCCAGAGAAACCCUUGGCAUCGGAAGAGGAGGGGCAGCCUAGAACUCGUGGGGGAUCACAGUGAGGAACCCUACUGAGGAUAUAGGGUUCAGUUCCGUUCAGUCGCUCAGUCGUGUCCGACUCCGACCCCAUGGAUUGCAGCACGCCAGGCUUCCCUGUUCAUCACCAUCUCUUGGAGCUUACUCAAACUCAUGUCCAUCGAGUCGGUGAUGCCAUCCAGCCAUCUCAUCCUCUGUCGUUCCCUUCUCCUGCCUUCAAUCUUUCCCAGCAUAGGGUCUUUUCCAAUGGCGUCGGAAGUUCAGUUCAGUUCAGUUCAGUCGCUCAGUCGUGUCCGACUCUUUGCGGCCCCAUGAAUUGCAGCACGCCAGGCCUCCCUGUCCAUCACCAACUCCCGGAGUUCACCCAAACUUAGGGGAUCCCUGAAAUGGGAGGAGGGGCGAGCGGGCAGCUUCAAGAGGAGCCGGGCCAACCAGGCGGACCAGACGAGGUUGAAGACGGCGCACUAAAGAAGCCUGUGAGGAAACUAACCUACGGACAUAAAAUAGCGGCUACCUUUGUUGGGGAGGCACUGAGGGCCAUGGGUAGCAGCGAGCCUUGUGGGCUUCUAGGAAUGUUCUGUAAUUUGACUUGGAUGGUGGUUAUGCAGGACUCCAUAUAAAGAACAGUCUUCAACUGUACACUUGAGUAGUGCACGUCACUGCUAUUAUACCUUAAUUUUUAAAAAGCAGGCAUAAACAAUCUUUGGUGUUAGAGGUCAGAGUAGUGGAUACGUCAGGGGAAAUAUGUGCUGCAGGACUAGGAACAUUCUGUAUCUUGAUCCAUCUUGCUAUAUGGGUCUAUACAUACAUAAAGUUUAAUCAAGAAAAAGGAAAAAAAAAUUUUUUUAGAAGUCACUUAGUCCUGUCCGACCCAUUGUGACCCUAUGGAUUGUAGCCUACCAGGCUCCUCUGUCCGUGAAAUUCUCCAGGCAGGAAUACGGGAGCGGGCUGCCAUUUCAUUCUCCAGGGGAUCUUCCUGACCCGGGGAUCGAAUCCAGGUCUCCCUUGCUGUGGGCAGACUCUUUACCGACUGAGCCACCAGGGUACAAAACAAAGCAAUGACCAUGCUCUUAAAGAUUGUACUCUCGUGUGUGUUAUGGAGCUUCCCCAGGUGGCUCAGUGGUCAGGAAUCCACCCGCCAAUGCAGGCGAUGCGUAUUCAAUCCCUGGGCCAGGAAGACCUCCUGGAAGAGGGCACGGCAACCCACUCCAGGAUUCUUGCCUGGAGAAUCCCGGGGACAGAACAGCCUGUCAGGCUACAGUCCACAGGGUCACAAAGAGUUGGACAUGACUGAAGCAACUCAUCACACAAACACAUGUAUUAUACCUCAAUUAAAAAAAAAAAGGCCGAGCCAGCAAAAGGCCCAAAACCGAAGACGCCCCACUGGUUUUGGGUGAAGACCAAACUCUUCACCUUACCUGGUUUUGUUUGUUUGUUGGAGUAGAGUUGGUUUAAAAUGCCGUGUUAGUUUCUGCUGCACACCUUACGUUUUAAGUGAUCAAAUGUCUGAAUUUAUCUGGGACAGUCCCAAUUUUUU